UUCUGUGUCCCGGUGUCAUUGUCAUUGUCAUGGGUGGAAAAACGCUGCCCGCUGUGAAAGGUCAUGGAGUCACCUGCAGAGCAGAAAGAGGGAUGCAUCACAGCGAGAACGGCAGGGACCACCUAUAAAUCUGAUUUUAUUAUCCUGAAACCGCUUUGAGAACCAUUAUGGCUGAAGACUGCAAAUAAAUAAUCAAGGUAAACUCCUCUGAGCACAGCCUUUUCUUUAAAGGAAAUAAGAAACAAGUUGCUAUAUUUCACUGUGCCUUUGCUGCUCGGGGGGAGAGUCCAGUACAUACAUUCUUUGCUUAGCUCUGCCAAACACAGCAAAUGAACUCGCGCAACAAGAGCACGUUGCCUCCAUAUCAUCCGAUAUGACGCUCCCAGGUUCAAUAGCUUUAGCAGGAGUAAUAUUAAGUAUUUGUUACUAGGAUGGUGGUAAAGUCCUGCCUGCCUUGGACACUGGGCUAGGAGUGCUGUGAAGAGUUGUUUAAUGAGUACAUGUAUUGGUUUUUAUCUUGGACAGUUGGGGGAACAAAUAAGAUAUGUGUGUGGAAGGGUUCUUUUAUUUUUUACAUUAUUUUCACUCUUGCAAGCUGCACAGAAAAGCCGCUUAGAAAUAUUUCAGUUAAACAAAUUUUCCAGUAGAAUAAUGUUAUAAAAGCAGUAGCUGACAAAUAUUACAGCAGCCUUCCCCAAGCUUGGUGCUGUCCAGACGUUGUUGAACUAAAACUCCCAAAAUCACUGACCAUCAGCCAUAUUCGCUGGGGAUGAUGGGAGUCGGGAGUCCGAAAUAUCAGUGGCACUAGAUGAAAGAAGGGCAGGUUACAACAUUGCGGCUAUAAUCAAAGUUAUCCCCAAAUGCGUAGAAGUACGAACUGUUCAAUAACAAAAACACAAAAUGUGUUCCACAAAUAUUUCAUUUUAUUUUAGAGGCGUCUUCCCCCGUUGUGUUUGAUGCCAUUCCACAGUAAGGGGUGUUCUUUGUUUUUCCAGGGAGGCAGCUGAGAACUGGACUCUUAGAAGGACCCACUCUUUAAUGGACAGGCAACUUCCAAUGGGGUCCAACAUCGGUUGGGUUCGGCGUUAACAAGUCAGCUGCUUCGAUGCAACUCCCCUACUGGAAACUCACUCGCAAGAACGAGCGUGAAGGAGACCCACCCCAACUCUCUUGUGCAAGAAGCUAACAUUGUGACUCAAGUGUCUUGACAUCUGCAUAAGACUCUGACCUUUUAGAGUGAUCUGGCUUAUACAAUAUUGGGUGGAGGGAGAAAGAAGUCACACGGGUGAAGUAGCCCCAAGUUCCACUGGACAUUCCACUUUUGGUGCAGCAUUUAAGAACAAAUAUACAGGACCAGCAGGUACUGAAACAGGAUCCAUGUGGGCUUAGAAUAAGGAUAAUCAACCAAAAGCAGGUUGCACAGAAGGGGAAAAAAUAGAAAGAAAACCCCACAAUCAUUUGAAGGCGUCCUUAACCUCACACAGUUACAUACGAAGCAGAUCCCUGCAGCUUGAGCUUGCUAGUAUCUCAUGUAUAUAUUUAUACUAUUUCCGCAGCAAGUCUAAAGGGUCCAGGUAUCUGAGCCAAGCAUCACCCAUUGUGACAAUAGGCUGUUUAGAUCUGGAGCAGAUCUCCCACUUCAGCAGCUCCAUUUGAAGAAGAGAGAGAG